CUGCAUUCAAAGUUGUCUAUGGCAUUAGAUUUAACAACCUCAUGUGCCAGACAGCUAUUCUAAAUUUUCCAAACUAAUAAGAGACGUAUCAGUAACAUAAAAGUAAAUAAUUGAUCAACCUUCCUCACCCCAUUUAAGAUCUUACUUUCAUUUACUGUCAGUGAAACUCACCUAAAGCUUCCACUGUAGUUAUAACUGAAUUAUGAAAUGUACUCACUAAAAGGCAACUUCCCUUCUUUUCAUUUGUUAUUCAUGAGAUAUUUAUCCCCAAAAACAACAUAACUUCAGAUGAAAAGCCGAAUAGAACUGCUGAACUUAAAAAAAAUAUUGCUUUCUCUUCGAAUUCACAAUAUUUCUUCAUAGAGAAUCAAUUUUCCAUGAUACAUAUAUAUUAACUAUAUUCCACAUAAGUUAUACCAUUUUUAACUACUGUCUAAUAAUUCAAACAAGGUUCUAU
rnacentral:lncRNA from 1 species